GCCGGAGUGGUGAAAUUGGUAGACACGUCGGAUUCAAAAUCCGAUGCCUUUAAAAGCGUGCCGGUUCGAGUCCGGCCUCCGGUACCA
rnacentral:tRNA from 1 species